CGCGGUAUUUUGACCGUGCGAAGGUAGCAUAAUCAUUAGUCUUUUAAUUGAAGGCUUGUAUGAAGGGUUGGACGAGAAAUUAGCUGUCUCUAUAGAGAGGGUAGAAUUUAACUUUUAAGUGAGAGGGCUUAAAUAUUUUAAGGGGACGAUAAGACCCUAUAAAGUUUAACAUUAAGGAAUUAAAAAGAGGGUAAAGAGGGGUAAAUUUUAUUAAUGAAGUAUUGUUUUGUUGGGGCGACUAGAAUAUAAGUGAUAUAACUGUUCUAAAUUAGAAAUCAAAGAUAUUUGAGAUUUUGAUCCUUAUUAAAGAUAGUAGAACAAAUUACUUUAGGGAUAACAGCGUAAUUUUUUUUGAGAGUUCUUAUCGACAAAAAAGUUUGCGACCUCGAUGUUGAAUUAAAGAGUCUUUAUAGGGCAGAAGCUAUAAAAGAGGGUCUGUUCGA
rnacentral:rRNA from 1 species